UACAGAGGGAGCUAGCGUUGUUCGGAAUUACUGGGCGUAAAGGGCGCGUAGGCGGAACAUUAAGUUAGGGGUGAAAGGCCCGGGCUCAACCUGGGAACGGCCUCUAAGACUGAUGAUCUUGAGUGCGGAAGAGGAUGGCGGAAUUCCCAGUGUAGAGGUGAAAUUCGUAGAUAUUGGGAAGAACACCGGUGGCGAAGGCUGCCAUCUGGUCCGGCACUGACGCUGAGGCGCGAAAGCGUGGGGAGCAAACAGG
rnacentral:misc_RNA from 1 species